rnacentral:rRNA from 1 species
AGGCAGCAGUGGGGAAUAUUGCACAAUGGGGGAAACCCUGAUGCAGCCAUGCCGCGUGUGUGAAGAAGGCCUUCGGGUUGUAAAGCACUUUCAGUAGGGAGGAAGGUAGUGUAGUUAACACCUGCAUUAUUUGACGUUACCUACAGAAGAAGCACCGGCUAACUCCGUGCCAGCAGCCGCGGUAAUACGGAGGGUGCGAGCGUUAAUCGGAAUUACUGGGCGUAAAGCGCAUGCAGGCGGCCUGUUAAGUCAGAUGUGAAAGCCCGGGGCUUAACCUCGGAAUUGCAUUUGAAACUAGGCAGGCUAGAGUCUUGUAGAGGGGGGUAGGAAUUUCAGGUGUAGCGGUGAAAUGCGUAGAGAUCUGAAGGAAUACCAGUGGUGAAGGCGGCCCCCUGGACAAAGACUGACGCUCAGAUGCGAAAGCGUGGGGAGCAAACAGGAUUAGAUACCCUGGUAG